GACGAACGCUGGCGGCGUGCUUAACACAUGCAAGUCGAGCGGAAAGGCCCUUCGGGGUACUCGAGCGGCGAACGGGUGAGUAACACGUGAGUAACCUGCCCUUCACUUUGGGAUAACCCUCGGAAACGGGGGCUAAUACCGGAUACGACACACCAGCGCAUGUUGUGUGUGUGGAAAGUUUUUCGGUGGGGGAUGGCUCGCGGCCUAUCAGCUUGUUGGUGGGGUGAUGGCCUACCAAGGCGACGACGGGAGCCGGCCUGAGAGGGCGACCGGCCACACUGGGACUGAGACACGGCCCAGACUCCUACGGGAGGCAGCAGUGGGGAAUAUUGCACAAUGGGCGGAAGCCUGAUGCAGCGACGCCGCGUGAGGGAUGACGGCCU
rnacentral:rRNA from 1 species